rnacentral:rRNA from 1 species
UACGUAGGGGGCAAGCGUUGUCCGGAAUCAUUGGGCGUAAAGCGCGUGUAGGCGGCUCGAUAAGUCUGCUGUGAAAGUCCAAGGCUCAACCUUGGGAUGCCGGUGGAUACUGUCGAGCUCGAGUCCGGAAGAGGAGUGUGGAAUUCCUGGUGUAGCGGUGAAAUGCGCAGAUAUCAGGAGGAACACCGGUGGCGAAGGCGGCGACCUGGGUCGAUACUGACGCUGAGGAGCGAAAGUGUGGGGAGCGAACAGG